UGAAGGAUGGCUUCAGCCCAGAUCUAAGAGCCAGUGCAACAGACCAGUGACAGUUGUCAGUGGCACAGUGAAUCAGGAGUGUGGUACUUGAAUGCCAUGUCCUACAGCUGGGCUAAUAAGGACUCAGUUGCUGGAAUUGUCAGCUCUGCCAAUUUCUAUGCACAUUUCUCUUCCACUAUGAGCAGAUCAAUUGUCUUGCACCUUUGUCUGGCUUUUGGUAGCUUUUUUUUUCUUAACUUUGCCAUACAAUGUCUGGCCUUCCCCAAAAAAGAACAAGAGCAGCCUGAGAGGAUCAGCACAGAUGACCUGGAAAAUAGCUCUGUGACUCCAAAGCCAACUCCUCAACUGGUGUCCUCCGAAGAUGCAAGACCAGCCUCAGCAGAACCAUCAGCAAUGUCAUUAAAUGAAAUCCUCUUGGAUAACAAAGAAACCCAUCCUGGAGGAGCUGGGCUCUUGCAGUCUAGCAGUGCUGGUCUUUAUAUGGCAUCUGAGCCAGCGGUCCCGACAGGUGAGGACAUGCCUGGUUCCAGCCAGCCAGGGGGCCUGUCUGCUGAGAGCAAGCCUUCAGAGCCCACGCUAACCAUCGCCCUCCCUGCAGCUGCUUCUCUGAGUACUGAUGGGGAAGAGGAGCCCUGGAGCAGUACCAGCAGUCAGCCCACUGUGGAAGGGACCACAGAAACAACACAAAGUUUUCUGACAUAUGUGGUCAAUCAGCUGUUCGCAACUGAAAAUCAGGAAGAAGUUAGUUUGGGACAUACACCUUCAUCCUAUAUGAACACCGAAGAAAUGAUAACCACCAGUCCAAGGAUGGAGCAACUCAAAGCAGCCACAGAGCAGAGGACAACUUCUUUUCCUGGUGCUGAGUCCACAACAGACACUGUACCCGGAAGCCUCCUGCCUAAUGGGGAGAAGCCCUCCCAGAUGACAGCUGAUGAUACCCAGGCCACUGGCACCAAGCACUUAUUGGUGGCAACUUCUGCGUAUACCCUGGGUUUUGAGCCGGAAACCUACAGCUUGCUGGAAGCCCCAGAAAUCACAGUGAGUGUCAGCUCAGCUGUUCCAGCCACCUCUGUCUUAAGUGAGGAAUGGGAUGACACCAAACCAGGGGGUGGAAACCAGAUAAGGACCCCACAGCCUGAAGGCAAUCCAGCGGCAGCGGAGGUAGCUCUGGGGCUGCCAGAAGGAGAAGCACAUGUGGGCACAGCCCUGGAAAUGUCACAGGGGGACGAGGGAUUACCUGCCUCCGCUCGCCUCAGUUCCUUUGCUCCCACGAGCCUGUUGGAAGGUACAGAGUUUUCCAUGAGCCUAUUCCGAGGUGUAGGAGGUGUCACGGAUUCCACCAAGGGAGACAGCACAGCGUUCCUCUCAGAGACGACCGAGUCUGGGUCAGAAUCUCAGUCAGAGGCGUAUCAACUGCUGGGACAGGCACUGAAAGACACCAUCACUCAAGAAAUGACAACGGCUGCCCAGGAACCAGAGGCCACUCUACCCUUCAUGACACGAGAGCAGGUUGCUACCCUGGAUGUUCCCAGAGACAGUGGAGACCCCGAGGAAGGCGAGGAGUCCCCCUCUGCUGGGACUGAUGCUUCUGCUGCUACUCAGCUGUCCAGAAGAUGGGAGCCUCUGGCCACGACAGCUUCAACCACAGCGGCCCCAUUGACUCCUGCAGUCAUCCCUGGUGCGGAAGGCUGCACGGACACAGUCACAUUGUCCAGUGAGGAGUUCACACCGGUUUUGGGCUCCCCUGUGACAACCCCUGGAGUAAUGAUGGAGGUGAUUAGCUCUUCCCCAGCAAUUCCUGCUUCUGAGGCCCCCUCUGAGAGAACAGUUCCAUCCAGUAGCAGCACAAAUACAGCCGCUUCCUACGGCCUGGAACAGCUCGAAUCUGAAGAGGGAGAAGAUGACGAGGAUGAAGAGGAUGAAGAAGAUGAGGAUGAAGAGGAGGAAGAGGAGGAGGAAGAAGAGGAAGAUAAAGAUGCAGACUCCCUAGAUGAGAGCUUCGAUGGUGACAGUGACCUGCCAGGCUUUACUCUCGCUGGUGACACAUCGCAGGAGCCUGGCUUGGAGCAGGGAAAUAGGGACCCAUUGGCGGGAGCCACCUACCAGGUGCCAGAUGCCAUCGAGUGGGAGCAACAGAAUCAAGGCCUGGCCACGUGGGCAUCUGCAACAAACCACAAGCUUCCAGAGCAGAAGACUUGGUCACCUACUCUGAAAACUCAGUCCACUGCUUAACAGAGGAAAUUCUUCUUCAGCAACAAAAUGGAUAGCUCACAUCUUUUCUUCUUGUUUUGUAACAUGGAUUUCAUCUUGUGUGUUUAAUAGGCACCAGGUAUUGGCUACGAUAGUGACAUGAAACCUUGAUUUCAUCCUCACAAUAACCCUGAAAUACAAACGAUAAUAUAAAAGUAAAAUCAUAUAUUCAAUCAAUGGCAGAGCCAAGAUUUAAACCCAUGUUUAUUUGAUUAUGAAAGUACUUCUGUCCAUGUAUGAAUCUAAAUCCCUCUCACAAUUUUGGGACUCUUUCUCAGUAUUGUGCUCAGGUCAGCAGAUGCUGAAUUGCAAGAGCCAGUUGUUUCAGGAAUUGUGUAAGCCAGUUGUUAAACACAGCCAUUAUUAAAAAUAAAAUUCUAUCAAUUUUCUCUAAAUGAACAAUAUUAAAAAAUACAAGCAUGCUCAGAACUCAUCAUUUCCUAGUUAUUUUACUAUGUUUUACUUCUUUCUGGGCACUUGAGGCUAUUUGUAUCUUUUGCACCAUUUUGUGGAAAUACUAUUGUGUGUCUUUCCUUAAAUCUGCAUUUGAGUUGUUAUUUUGAUAGCUGGAAAUUGGUCACAGUGGGAGAAAUGACUCCACAGAAAUGGGUAAAUGUACAAAUCAGGGUUUGAUUUACUGUUUGGUUGGUGAUCUAGACUUAACGUGAUUGAACAACAAAAAUUGUGUUACGUCUAGUCCUGAAGCUAAGAGGGACUUCAGUUUAACAUGUACACUUUGCAUUGGGAUACAGACUAUUUAAAUCUCUUGAUAGCAGUAGAUCACGUAUCAUAGUUAAAGUUAGGAGAUUUAUGAGAAGACUCCAUGGGAUACAACUUCACUUGUCAGAUCAUAGAGGAAUUGCAGCCAUAGGUUGGCUACAGAUAGGAAAGUUUGGCAAAAACCAGUAAAAGCGUCACUGAGAAUCAGUUGGCUUUAUUGGAUUUGCAAUAAACGGUAUUUUAUCUGUUAUUAUUGUUAUUUUUAUGUCUUUAAAAUUUAUAAUAAACACAACACACACACACACACACACACACACACACGCGCACACAGGCACACACCCCUUCCUACCUGUUCCCAGCAGACCUAUUGCUAAGCAUUUACCAGCACUCCACUGCUUUCCCACUUUUAGUCCUCAGUGGAACUGGACCCCUGUGGUUGUGGCACCAUGGAAUUCUUCCAUAGCACUAUCUUCUUCAGGAGAACAAUCUGCAAUUUAUUGAUCUUUCUGUACAGGUUUUAUUUGCUAGCUUUUCUCGGGCAAUUUGAAGUAUACAGAGCUAAUCAUGUGAUAGUAUUCCAGAACAGAGUUGACACAGGCCGGAUGUCUUAGUCACUUUCUCAUUGCUGAGACAAAAUACCUGACACC
rnacentral:lncRNA from 1 species